GUGUGUGUGAGUGUGUGUCUGUGAGUGUGUGUCAGUGAGUGUGUGUGUGUCAGUGUGUGUGUCAAUGGGUGUCUGUGAGUGUGUGAGUAUGUGUCUGUGAGUCUGUGAGUGUGUGUCAGUGUGUGUCUGUGAGUGUGUGUCAGUGUGUGUCUGUGAGUGUGUCAGUGUGUGUCUGUGAGUGUGUGUCAGUGUGUGUGUCAGUGAGUGUGUGAGUGUGUGUCAGUGUGUGUGUCAAUGGGUGUGUGUGAGUAUGUGUCUGUGAGUCUGUGAGUGUGUGUCAGUGUGUGUCUGUGAGUGUGUGAGUAUGUGUCUGUGAGUGUGUGUGUCAGUGAGUGUGUGAGUAUGUGUCAGUGUGUGUGUGUCAGUUAGUGUGUGUGUGUGUGUCUGUGAGUGUGUGAGUAUGUGUGUGUUUCUGUGAGUGUGAGUGUGUGUG
rnacentral:lncRNA from 1 species